UACAGAGGGUGCGAGCGUUAAUCGGAAUUACUGGGCGUAAAGCGUGCGUAGACGGUUGCAUAAGUCGGAUGUGAAAUCCCCGGGCUCAACCUGGGAAUUGCAUUCGAGACUGUGUAGCUGGGGUGCGGAAGAGGGAAGCGGAAUUUCCGGUGUAGCGGUGAAAUGCGUAGAUAUCGGAAGGAACAUCAGUGGCGAAAGCGGCUUCCUGGUCCAGCACCGACGUUCAGGCACGAAAGCGUGGGGAGCAAACAGG
rnacentral:ncRNA from 2 species